rnacentral:tRNA from 1 species
ACCUGGCUGGUUCAGUAACUAGAGUGUGUGACUUUUGAUCUCAGGGUUGUGAGUUCCAGCCCCACGUUGGGUG